GCCGGGUAUGGUGGUGCACACCUGUAAUCCCAGCUACUUGGGAGGUUGAGGCAAGAGAAUCACUUGAACCCGGGAGUCAGAGGUUGCAGUGAGUGGAGGUUGCACCACUGCACUCCAGCCUGGGUGAUAGAGUGAGACUAUGUCUCAA
rnacentral:SRP_RNA from 1 species